rnacentral:lncRNA from 1 species
UUAAAAUGGACUAUUUGAAACAAAUAAUUAAAAUAAAAUAUUAACAUUAAAUAAAAUAUAAAAAUAAAAAUUAAAUAAAUUAAAUAAAACAUUAAGGAAAGUAAAAAAUAUUUUUUGGUAUUUUUGUAAACAAAUAAAAUAUUUUUAAUAAUUAAAAAGAAAAACAGAAAAAUAAAAGUGAAUUAAAAAUAGAAAAAUGGAAUGAAUGUGAUAAUAUGAGUGGGCCUGG